GCCUAGUUAGCUUAGUUGGUAGUGCGUCUGCCUCUUAAGCGCUAGGCCGCGGGUUCGAUUCCCGCCCGGGGCG
rnacentral:tRNA from 1 species